CCUACGGGAGGCAGCAGUAGGGAAUAUUGCUCAAUGGGGGAAACCCUGAAGCAGCAACGCCGCGUGGAGGAUGAAGGUUUUCGGAUUGUAAACUCCUUUUGUUAGAGAAGAUAAUGACGGUAUCUAACGAAUAAGCACCGGCUAACUCCGUGCCAGCAGCCGCGGUAAUACGGAGGGUGCAAGCGUUACCCGGAAUCACUGGGCGUAAAGAGCGCGUAGGCGGGAUAGCAAGUCAGAUGUGAAAUCCUAUGGCUUAACCAUAGAACUGCAUUUGAAACUGUUAUUCUAGAGUAUGGGAGAGGUAGGUGGAAUUCUUGGUGUAGGAGUAAAAUCCGUAGAGAUCGAGAGGAAUACUCGUUGCGAAGGCGACCUGCUAGAACAUAACUGACGCUGAUGCGCGAAGGCGUGGGGAGCGAACGGGAUUAGAUACCCCUGUAGUC
rnacentral:rRNA from 1 species